rnacentral:rRNA from 1 species
CAGUAGCCGCGGUAAUACGGAGGGUGCAAGCGUUAUCCGGAUUCACUGGGUUUAAAGGGUGCGUAGGCGGGCAGGCAAGUCAGUGGUGAAAUCUUCGAGCUUAACUCGGAAACCGCCGUUGAUACUAUCUGUCUUGAAUAACGUUGAGGUGAGCGGAAUAUGUCAUGUAGCGGUGAAAUGCUUAGAUAUGACAUAGAACACCGAUUGCGAAGGCAGCUCACUAAACGCUCAUUGACGCUGAGGCACGAAAGCGUGGGGAUCAAACAGGAUUAGAUACCCCGGUAGUCCCUGUCUCUUAUAC